CUCCGCUGAGCUCCCUGCCUGCCCCUAAUGAGCUGGGCUGGAGCUGCAAACCACAGGAGGAGUGCUGAGCGGUCUGCGCUUCCCACAGGCUGCCUGUGCCAGGAUUGGGCACAAAAAGUUGGAAAACCAAACCAGCUUCUCAAGCUAGAUUGGCUCGAGCAGCCAGUGAUCCUGUAAAGCACACGGGGUGCAGGGGGCUCUGUCCUGGCUCUGUCCCGGGACUGCGGAUGACUCUACCGUCACCCGGCCUCAACCCACAGCUCCGGGGGCUGCCCGCAUCACCCAGCAGACCGCGCCACAGAAUUAAAACCCCAUGCUGCACUGCACCAGUAAGAAUCAUUCAGUUCGGAAAGUGAUGGGAGAGUCUUAAUCAAGGUUUCAUCCUGGAGGAGAGGGAAAAGAACUCCACCCCAAAAUGUGUUCCUCAACACUGUCUCACGUGGGAAGAGAUUUUAUUGU